rnacentral:tmRNA from 1 species
GGGGGUGUUUUUGGCUUCGACCGGAAACGUGAAUUCCAAGGCGCAUGUCGAGGAACAGAGCCUCGUUAAAAAGCUGUAAAAAAAUAGUCGCAAACGACGAAACCUUCGCUCUCGCAGCUUAAUAACCUGCUGAAAGCCCUCGAUUCCAAACCUUUCUAGUGACGUUUGGUCGUAUCGGGGUCGGUUCUUCACUAGAUCGUGCUGAAUCUCCGUCUGAAGAGGAGGCAUUAAAUUUUUAUCAGACUGGACGGAAGGUGGCGUGGCGGUCCGCAGCCCCCGUUAAGAUUAAAGAUUGCCUAAACAUGUAGUGCUGAAGAUGAAGCUUUUUGGGACGAGGGUUCGACUCCCUCCACCUCCACCA